UCCCGGUCUCCCUGGGAGGCGGGUAGGAUUCUGGACCCUGCAGUCAUCCGGCCCUUUCCAUAGGUGUUGCUCAGCCUUGGGAUGUCCUCCUCUCAAAGACGGUGCCUUCUGCUGUUUUUUUACUUUUUGUUUAAUUUUUAUUUUUAUUUAUUCAUGAGAG
rnacentral:lncRNA from 1 species